rnacentral:misc_RNA from 1 species
CCGAGUGCUGUCCCCCCCGGUCCGCCGGGCGGGGGCACUGCCUCCCACCCUUCGUCUACUAUCCUGUUGCUUCGGCGGGCCCGCCCUUGGGCCGCCGGGGGGAUUUUUUUCCCCCGGCCCGCGCCCGCCGGAGACACCUCAGAACACUGCAUGAAUUGUUGCCGUCUGAGUCUUUAUCAAAUAUAUA